rnacentral:misc_RNA from 1 species
GAAAGAAAUUCCCCAUAUUGAGAUGCCACUUCAUACUAUAAUAGAGAUACAAAUGGGAGUUACAGGUGUCCAAGAGAAAAGAUACAAACUCAUGGAUUGAACAUGGUUAUAGAAAAUUCCAUAUUUUUCCAUUUAAUUUCCAAAGGAGAUUCGACUCUCUGCAAUAAUUGAUGUGGCAUCUCAAUAUGGGGAAUUUCUUUC